UGAUUCCUCUGCCUUGGCCUCCCAAAGUGCUGGGAUUACAGGCAUGAGCCACCACACCCAGGUACUUGUUAAGCCUGAGAAUAGAAUUGCUGGCCCUCCUUCUAUGUAAGCUCCCAGUCUGUCUGCAGAGGCCAGCCUUAAGGUUACUGUUUCUGCUGCUCAGAUGGCCCCAAGCAGGGGGACUCCAGGUGUGAUAUUGGGUACAUUGGUCAUCCCUCUGCCUCCCACCUGGAUGGAAACAGUCUGAGAGCCCUCUCUGUGGCUUGGUUUUAGGCAGGACCUUAGGACUUGUGGGUGAAUUGAUGGGGGAGAUACACACUUACCUAUGUCCUCUUUCCCAGCAUGGGACUUGAAUGCUGCUAUUGGUGCACAUUUCUGCAGACGUGUCUCUGGCUGUCAGGAUGCAGAAUGUUGGUAGGUCCAGUGUGGGGGCUGCCAAAGGCGGUGUCAUGUGCUCUGUGGAUUUUUGUGUGAUUAUAAUGGUCCCAUUUGAAGUUUUCCUGUUUGUUGCAGUAAAACCUCUCUUCAGUGUCUGUUACCUUUCUCUAUAUUCUUGGUGAAGGAGAGAGAUAGUAAUAAGGGGCCUAAAUGAGGUAAGAAGAGCAGAUGCUGUUCUCUGCUUCCUCCCUGCCACCAACAUUCCUUCUGCCCUGUUUUUCCUGGCCAGCUGUGCUCUGGGCAGUCCAAGCCUGUGAACCAGCCACACCCAGGAUCUGUGGUGGAGCUCAGUCCCAGACUGUUCUGGAAGAGUCGCCCAGAGGAGCCGUGUGGUCUCCCAUUCAGCAACAGAGUACGGGAUGGUCUCUCUGAAGGGCAGAGGGUCUGAGCACUGUCCCCUUCAUGGCAUCUAAGGCUGAAAUGCUGAAUGAUGCAAUGAGAGGAUUCUAGGGGAGAAAAGGAGCUGUACAUGGGCUUGAUUCUUCCCUCCCCAGCUGGUGGACACAGCACCAGAGGUGGAGCUGGAGGGCCCUCCACUGACCCACAUGCACUCCACUUUGCAGCUGUGCCCUGGGACACACUUAUAAUCUCAAAGUGUUAUGAAUUCCAACCACUGGAUUCUACCCUACUUCUGACAUAAUCUUCUUGGGUUGAUAGUAGCCUGUCUCAUUACCGAGUAUUUCUUCUUAUGGGUAGCCCUGGUUAGUCAUUUUCUUUUAACUUUUUGUUUAAAGAAGACCUGUAGAUAUGAGCUUUUUGUCAGAGAUGAUCUCUGCAGGCCUGAGUCUAAACUGUUAACCCUCUCUCAGAGAAUGAGUGCUGGCUCUUGAAUUUCAGGCGCUUUGACAUUUACUGAGGGAAAGAAGGAGAAUGGAAGGAGUGAGCAUAAAGCGCUGACCUGAGUGGAAUGGCGGGUCGACUUGCCAGAGCCCCGAGAUGAUUAUACUCUCCCAGCUCUAGGACAAGCUGUCCAAUUUCCCAAAAACCAAUUUGACAAUUGUCGAGUGACCAAUUUGCUGAAUUAGAAGAAUUUACUAAUUUACCAAAUUGCUUAUUUCUUUUAUGCAUUUCUAAAGACUUGAGCAAUUGGCAUGGGCUGGGUUGGCAGGGCCUGAAAGGGUUUGGAGCAAUGAGUCAGAAGCAAUGGUCUCUGGGAACAACCCUGUAGGUGGCGCCACUCUCUGGACUGAGAGGGGCACUGGGUGGAUGGUGGAGAGUUAGGGGAGGCUUUGCUGCAGAGAUCCGAGCCUUGCUGACUCUUCAGUUCUUGUUUUUAAAGCAAUCCUUAUUUUUGACCACCUUUUUUCCUUAAAAGUCAGUCAGCUCACCACUUUUGGAUUCUUCCUUGACUUCCUGGCCGUACAUACUUCCCAUCCUCACGCUGCCUCACUUGUUUGGCUCUUCAUCUCUCUCCUUCUCCUCCUUCACCCUGGAGCAACACCGGAGGCCUCUCAUGUCCUCCCGUGGAGAAGUGGGAGAACAGCACAGCCCUUGCCUUACUAUUUUGUUCUUACGACCCUCAGACCUUCAGGGGCUCACUUUCUCCCACAGCACUGUAGCCAAAGAAAGGUUUCUUUCCUAAGAGGGAUUAUGGUAUCAGCUCUUCAAAUACCAUUAAAUUUUUAUUUUCUACACAUAAACACAUUCUUAUGGUUUUGGAAAAUGGAAGCAGUAUAAAACCAAAAUUUUUUGCAAACUCAGUGUGAUAGCCUUCAUAUAUUAGGCAUUCAAUGAAUAUUUUAGUGAUUAACAAAUGGGUGGUUUUUAAUAAUGAACCUCACCCUGUUAUAACCAAAUACUCGUGUCAGAGAAACUAGCUUGCUUUUAUAUCAAGAUUAUGGCCCUGGAUUUUGAUAAUGCCACAGAAAUAUUGUCAAAUGUUGUUCACUCGGCUCUGCUCUUUCCAAGUUGAGGUGAGCUAAGGGAGCCAACCAAAGUAAGGUUGGUUUCCUGCUCCUUUUCCCCCCCACUUAACCCUUUGCUUAAAAAGCUCUCCGAGGCCAUAAACUACUAGGACACAACUCCCUAUUAAUUAGCCAUUUAUAACUAUGUUUCUGUUGAUUUUUUGGACCAAUCAUUAAUUUGAUAGGGUUAUAGGAAGUCCUAUGCUCCUGUAACUGAGAAGACACUGUCUAAGUGUGGGUCCAGAUUGAGGAGGUCCUUUGGGGUCUGUUGCUUCUAUCAUUGGCCUGACCCACGCUGUCUCUCAAAUUCAGACCUCUCAGAAAAAGGAAGAAAGGCUUCAUCCGCAGUGGGCAUUAAAAAAAAUCAUAAACAUCUAUUCAUGGUCUUGGAAUUGAAUCUUAAGGCAAAGCAGGAUCUCAGGUAAGAUUGACAGAUGAUGAACUGGCAGCCCACACCCCAUUCCUGUUGAUAUGUUCUACCUCUUUCUAUUACUGGGGUGUGAUUACUUCAAAGCCAGGAAGAGCUGCAAUCUAAUUUUAGAAGAAUGCCCUUCUUUUACACGUUGGUGAGUAUAUAUCUUAAUAUAUGAUGUAUAUAUCUAUAUAAUUUUAGUAGUUGUAUAAUAAAAAUUGGGAUAGGUAAACAAAAGAGAGCAGCUGAAAAGUCUACCUAUAAAGGCUUCAGGCUAACAUAGUUACUUAUAUUGCUUCUACCACAAAUCUGUGGGGAUGAUUUUUAUUUGUUGGGAAGGGUUGUCUCUGAAUUUCCUGUAAAGUUUGGCAUUUUAAAUCUUUUUUUUGACUCUUCUCCUGUUAAAUAUAUAUCUUGGAAACUUGGCUGUUUCUGUUUCCUGAGCUUCACAGCGAACCAACAAACCAGCAGUAACUGUAAUCCACCUCUUAAAAUUUAAUCCCUUGGGACAGUCCAUCUCAAUGGCAGAAUAAGAAACACUCUCCUGGCAGAAUAAGGGUGAAGAUAAGCCUAUUCCUGUACUUAUCUGGGAGCACAUGUAGGUAUGAGUAACAAGACCAAGAGCUGCCAAGGGUGAAGGAAGAUGUAGGAGCCCAUGGAUUGCAUGAGGGAAAUAUGGAUCCUGUGAAGGGCAAGUUGGUUUCUUUGUGUGGACGACCCAGAUAAAGCAAUGAAAAUGGAUAAUAAGGACAGUAAGGACAAGUGCCUUCCAAGGCAUUAAGGCAAAUGAGAUUGUAGCAUGGAUACAGAAGAGAAAGGAGAGAGAGAAAAAGUAGAUGGAAAAGUAAAUGACUCAAACCUUCCAUUACUGAAAGUUCCAAAUGUUUCUUUAAUGGCAAUCACCAGAUUGUAGGCCUUCAUUUUUCACCGGUCAGCAUUCCCUCAUCUUUCUGUUCAUAACAAAUGUGAGUUCCUCUUCUGACCACUAGAGGUCUCUAGAGAAUCACGGAUCAACAUCUGAAGCCUCAUACCCUCUUGCUAUCAGCCACUCUAGGAGGUGGAAAUGUUUAUUUUUCCAACAUGAAUAGUCAGUCACAUAGUCACAAGAGAUCCAAGGCCUGAAUCUUAAAUUUCUAAAAAUUAAAAAAUGCAUAUAGCUGCUUCAGUGGGUAGCUGCCUACUCAACUUCAAGCUGGCACUGACCAUCAUCCCUCAAAUAUGUCCCUUGCUAUUUUGAUGGUAGAAAUUCUGCUAUUACACAGAAUAACAGCACUGCUUCUACUAAAAAGGCAAAUGCUGUGGAAGCCUAAUUUAUACAAUCAUAAUGAGUUAUUUAUACGAUAGUAUGAGUGACUCCGUUGGGCCUUUGCCAUUGUGAUUACGAAGGAUGACAGAUCAGGGUUGGUGGGGAGAUGAGGAGGGCAAUGAAAGAGGAGGUGAAGACAAACUUCAUCUACUUCACACCAUUGCAGAGGUCUGACCCCAGGUCCUCUUCCAACUUCCUGCCCCUCAGUAAGUGCUGUGGGUGUGUAACCCAACUCUGGGGUCAAGUGAACAAACUGCCCUCAACUUCCUUAAGGCUUCCUGUUCAAGACGAUGACUUCCAGACUUUACUGGGACACUGAUAUUAUCACCUCUGGAGUCCUUGAUGUGACUCUCUUCCUGGUCAUAUGGACUGUAGCUAUUUUGGGCGUGUCCAACAUGUUUGAUAGUGCCGGUGAUGACAAGUGUACAUUUCAACAUUCCAUUAUUUAGAACACGCAUGUAAUUAUUUGUAAUGAAUCACUGAUGACAUCUGGAGAACAAUGAAGUCCUCUUUUAAUGUUUGGAUGAUUAGCUAUCGGAAAUUUUUACUUUGAUGGUCUUUCAUUUUUAUCUCAAGGAUUUUGGAUAUUAGUUCCUGUUGCACUCUGAUGUACAUUAAUUUUUCCUACAUUUAUCUGUCCAUCAAACAUUUAUUGAGAGUCUAUUAAUUUCCUCUUACACUGAAGGCUCUAUAAAUAUGAGGAUGAAUAGGAAGAAUAGGGCAGGGUUCUCAAGAAGUUCGUCAGUUGAUAGAAGGGCCAGAUAUGUUGAGGCAGUUACGAAGUGCAUGAUAAAUAGAGAAGUACGAAGUGCAUGAUAAAUAGAGAAGUACGAAGUGCAUUGGGACUAGGAAAAAAAUAAAGAAAUACUUCUAGAAAAAUAAAGUCCAUUUUCUCAGCUUGUUUGAAAGCCAUCAUCUGUUGUUGUUAUUAUUUUUCAUCAGGGGACAGUAGUCUGAUAAUUCACCUUGAUGCCUUUGGUAUAUUUUUUAAUUGCUUUUAGCUCUUUUAAAAGGUGCUUACCACAGGGUUGAAGGGUAGAGUAUAUGUAAGGCAAUGUGGCUAGAGCCUACUGGUAUAACCCAUUCCAAAGGAGUGACCUCUUAUCUGGUCAAAGGAAGACCAGUGGCCAGUAGGGUUGCCUGUGUUUUCACAGUGGAUAUCCUGGAGCUCCUGAAGUUGGUACUACUGGAACACAGAACAUUCCCUACUGAAGAGAAUGUUAUAAAGUGCAUAUGUUCUUUCUUUCUGCAAUUUUCAAGGAUUGUGCACAUCUCUCAGUAACCUAGCCUUCUUUUGAAGCCUUGCUUACAAGACAGAAAAUUAGACAGCUGCUCCAAAAGAGUCAGAUGCUGAGAUCCAUUGUCCACCCUGGCUCCUGCUCUGAAUUGACAUCAGUUUGCAACUAGCAGUUUCAUAAAUCAAGAAAAAGAAGAAAGGUAAAUUAAUGACUGUGUUAACUAGAGGGGCUCUGAAUUUCUGCUUUACAUGUACUCAUUUUGAAUUUCACUUUUAUUAUAAUGAACUUGCAAACACAGCAUUGCAAUAGUAUAUGCACCUCCCAAAGAUGCUGGGAAAUAGCUGAUAUUUCAUCAUUUGAGGACAGUUUGUGCCUGCAAGUGGCAGAGGUGCAGGAGGAGACAAAUAAAAGGGAUGCCUACAUCCUAUUUCCAUGAAUUUCUGUCCUCUGAGCUGAAAGACAAUUUACAAGUUGGCUGAUAAGACCUUGAAGAAAGAAGAUAUUUUAAAACUUUAAUUGAAAAUCCCCAUUCCUUCUCAUUGAAGAAGCAAAAGAAGAAACUAUAAUGAUGGACACUCUGGUGCUAGUAUCAGUCAUUUUGAUCACAAGACGUGGACCAGCCCACCUUGGAGCUCACUGUGGUGGUGGCCUGGUCCUAAUGCAAGUCCUAAUGGAGCUCUUGGAACUGGCUGUAGCCUUUGCUGAGCAGGAGCAACUAUGUCUCUGGUUCUUAAGGAUUGAAAAGGUUUCUUGGAAAAGCUUUCAUUUUCUGAAAUAAACAUCCCCUUGAGCCUGGUGUGUCUGUGGCCAUCUGAAAACGUCCACAUGAUGCCAGACCAUGCUUUACUCUGAAAAUCCACCGAUAAGGUACGUUGAAGAUGGAGAACAACUGAUGUCAAGACACAUUUUGGUUGUAAGGGACAGAAGUCCAACUCCAACGAGCUUGCCAAGGAUGGAACCUGCUGGCAAACAUAACCAAACUUUGGGAAGGGCAGGGUAUGGUUAACCUCAGGUUUCUGGAAGCAGAGUGUACAGUGCUGUGCCGUCCCUCUUCUCUCUGCUUCUCUCUGCGUAUUGGCCCUAUCCUCUCAGUGGGGCACCCUCCCUGAGCAGCGAACAGCAGCCACAGGAAGCUCCAGUGUCAAUGCCUCCCACAGCUUUCCAGAGAAGCAGCAGCCUCUUUGUUAGCUCCGUAUCAAAGACAUCCACAGGCAGGGCUUUGUGUGACCCAGUUUGGGUCACGUCUUUAUUUGGGGCCCGGAGGAAAUGGAUACAAUGACUACAGCCCAUCAUAGAACCUCAUGUUUAGAGGACCAAAUUUCCUCUCUCCAAAAGUGAAAUGUUGUCACUGUCCAUUCAACUGAUGAAAAUCUUCCUUUUCAACAGAAAAACUAUCAUGAUGUUGUCUGUUGGGCUUCAGUUUCUUACAGCAGUCAUCUUAAGAAUUAAACUGGUAUGGAUAAUCUGACUAUGAACUCCUUGAGGGCAGGGACCAUAUUAUAUAAUACUUCUGUGUCCUCUGCUAUUUCUUAGCAGAAUUUUGAAAAUGUGCCAAGUGUUGACUUGGUUCGAUCACUUGUGAGAAUGGAGGGACCCAUAAUGUUAAUAAUCAAUGAAGGUUGUUGGAGUUACUUACCCAAAACCUUAUGAACUUAGCCUUCCCUAGCAGAUUUAGUUUCGUAAUUUGUCCGGUAUAAGCAAACACUAAAGAGGGAUUGGGGAAAGUUGUGAGUUGAGUAGUUGGGAAAAAGGUAGUUUGCAGUUUUAUUUACGUCUCACAGCUUGACAUUUUUUGUUUGCCUUGGAGGGGGUACUUUUAAAAAUUCCUCUUUUGAAAACAAUAAAAUCUUAGAUUUUGGAUAACAGAUAUUUCUGUACUAUAUACCUCACUUAAGAUUUUCAAAGUAAUGUUUAAAAGUGCCUUUUAUAUUUUUUCAUACCACAUUGUAGGGAAGGCCAGGGUCAUUUUUUAACACUUAACUAUGCUCAAUACCUCCUCACCACUAUAAAGUAAGGUCGAAUGUUGGUUAAAGCAAAGCUGUCUGGAAUCACCCUGUCAAAAGUACUGAUUUAUAACCUUGCUACUCACAUUUCUUACUGUGGUGCCCUCCCUCUUGUUGGCUCCUGCAUCUUUGAAGUACAGGGAAAAUGAACUAAUAUGGCAGCUCCAAUAUGCAGCUAAUCCUGCCAAUGAUGUCUCCCCUGGAAGUGUUUGAGAGAAGAAUUUCUUUUCCCAGUAUGGAUUUAUGUAAACAUUUGUUCCAUUCACGAGUAGCACAUUAAUGCCUAAUUCUGGAAAAAAUACAAAGAAAAAACCUUU
rnacentral:lncRNA from 1 species